rnacentral:rRNA from 1 species
AUUUUAGUUGCCAGCACAUGAUGGUGGGCACUCUAGAAUGACUGCCGGUGACAAACCGGAGGAAGGCGGGGAUGACGUCAAAUCAUCAUGCCCCUUAUGACUUGGGCUACACACGUACUACAAUGGCUGGUACAACGGGAAGCGAAGCCGCGAGGUGGAGCCAAUCCUAUAAAAGCCAGUCUCAGUUCGGAUUGCAGGCUGCAACUCGCCUGCAUGAAGUCGGAAUUGCUAGUAAUCGCGGAUCAGCAUGCCGCGGUGAAUACGUUCCCGGGUCUUGUACACACCGCCCGUCACACCACGAGAGUUUACAACACCCGAAGUCGGUGGGGUAACCCUUACGGGAGCCAGCCGCCGAAGGUGGGGUAGAUGAUUGGGGUGAAGUCGUAACAAGGUAGCCGUAUCGGAAGGUGCGGCUGGAUCACCUCCUUUCUAUGGAGA